CUGGCUUUUCGAGGCAUGAAACAACACUAAGGUGAAAUGUUUUGUAUAAAAAAAAUGCUACAGUCUUCCCACACACAUUGUCAACAGAAUUACACCAUAAGCACUAGACUAUUUUCGAGUGUUAGCUUUCUCUUGAAUGAUGAGUGUUUGAUAGGCAGGGGUUGAUAAAUGACGGUCAGUCAAAUUGCUUAGGUCAGCGAAAUUGAGCAAGUUUCUUAGAGUGUAGCCUAGGUAGCUUAUCAAAUAUAGACCAGAGAGGUCAAACAUGAAUGCUUGACUCGCAAAAGGUAAACUAGUACUAAACGUAAGAUAUGGUGAUUAAAUUAGUCACUCUCACUGAGGACAGUUAGGAGAUCCAAUUUUAAAUUGGAUGAAACGGUAGAGGAACACGGCCAUAUUAUUUGAUGUUAAACGAGAAAGGACCCGUUUCUAUGACCCCCAAUAAAACAAAUAACGCCAGUUUUGUGUUUAAACCCGUAAUAGCCCCUGUAUCGGCCUAGUGAUGUUGUAGGAGCCCUCGCAGGCAUGUUCCCUCCCACGGCAAGACCUCGAGCUGGCGAAUUCCUUUUCCACUCGGUACCAAAUUCUAUUACCAAACGAAAGAAUGAGAUAGGCUAAACUGGGCUCAUAACAAUGUUUUGAGCCCAGAACGAUCCAUAACUAUAACCUGUCAAUAAAGUACUUAUUUAUUUAUUGUGAAAAAACGUGAGAAAAUUGUGUUGUUUAGGGGCUUGGGCCACUUGACAAAUGUCCAUCAUAGAGCAGUAGGCUAGGUCUAAGCAUUUCUGAAUAAUAUUAAGUCUUCUAUGUUGAUUCAUACUAACUAAUUAUAUGGAGAUUCAGUUCCUGUUAGAGCUCCAACCAAAGCUAGGGAGGAUCCUUGAAAACCCACUUUUAUAUAAUCUUAAACUACACAUUUAGCUUCUAAAAUCAUAUUCACACUUGGCUUUUUUUUUUUUUAAUAGUCCAUUAGAGACCAAUACAGUAGGCUGUAUUAAGCAUUUCUAGGGCAUAUUAUUUAUUUUAUAUUUGUAUUUAUUGAAAACUAAUUCAGUAUCUGUAGAUCACUAGAUUUGGAGUCACUGCCUGUUAUGGCGCAUAGUAGUUAGUUUUGUGCAUGGAGCUUAGCUCAGCUGUUAGCAGAGAUGUCAAAAGUAAAAGUUAAAAAAAAAAGAAAGAAAAGAAACACAGUUUCCUUCCAACACAGGUAACUUAUCUGAGUAACCAGUAGACCUGUGUACUUGUCUUACGAUCAGCUGACUACACUGGUUGGAUCAAGUUUGUGGUGGGUCCUUGUUAGAUUGUUAGAAGUGUUUUUCAGUAACAACGCAGUCUAUCUAUCCCAUUAGGUACAAUGGAGUAAAUGGUCUAACAGCUAUGUAAUAGGCUACCACGUGCUAGUGUUGUACUUACACCAGAAAAUGUACUUUUACUUUUACUUUUGACACCUCUGGCUUUUAGUUUUUCCACUUCCAAACGCUUUAUCAUUAGUAUCCUAGGUAAUAUUUCACUUGGCAGGUUAGAAGAGCCCUUUCAUGCAAGUGCAUAUAGUAGUCAGUUUCGGAUUUAAUUGUUUUUCCUUUUUUUAUGAUGUGAUUUAAGUGUGUGUCUGUUGAAGAGUAACUGACUAACAACUUUUUUUUUGACAAUUUCGUUUGAAAUAGAGGAUGUCCCACUGAACUGAGAUGAGUGACAAUCAUGAUGAUGAAGAGGCGUCAGGUGAGCCUCAAGCCACCACAUCUUCAGAAGGUACCACUGGGCCUAGGUGUGCCAUAUUGGAUGGGAAAUUCUUCAAAGUAGUAUCUCAAAAUCCAAGUGGAAAGAUAGAAGCUGAGUGUCAGCUGUGCACAACCAAGAAAGCCAUUAUUUGUGGCUCUUAUCAAGCAACAACAAAUUUCAAGACACAUUUGAAAAGAAAACACCCAGAGAAUCUACAGGAAUUUGAAAAUUACAAAAAGGAAAGUGCAAGUGGCCAGCAGAAGAAAGCCAAAACAUCAUUAAGGCAGACUCGUUUGUUUGACCAUGCUAGCCCAACAAUAUCACAAAGUAAAGUCGACUCCCUUGUGAAAUCCUUUGUUGUCAAAGGAAUGCACUCAUUAGCCACCGUUGAACAAACAGAAUUCAUCGAGCUUGUGCAGGGACUUCACCCAGGUGCCAAUGUAAUGUCCAGACGGACACUCGGACGACGGAUUGAUGAAGAAUUUGCAACAAAAAAAGCAUUCCUAAAAGAGACGCUUAAAAAUGUUCGCCGUGUUUGUACAACAGUGGAUAUUUGGUCAACAAAGAAAACCAGUUAUUUGGGAGCAACAGUACAUUGGAUCAAUGGAGACACGCUGGAAAGGCAGUCAGCCGCUCUUGCCGUUAGGCAUUUUCCCAGCCCCCAUACUUAUAACCGAAUAGCAGAACUGUUGGAUGAGAUUCACACAGAAUAUGGGCUGUCUUCAGACACCAUUGUGUCUACAGUUACUGAUAAUGCAUCCAACUUUGCAAAGGCCUUUAAAGAGUUCAGUGUCACUGGAAAAACAAAUGACCCAGAUGAAGUUGAAGAGCUGGACGAUGAGCUGUCCUUCCUGGUCAUAGAUCCUGAGAGAGAAGAAGCAUCUGAGUGUUCCAUCAUUUUACCACCACACCUCCGGUGUGCGACACAUACUCUGAGUUUAAUCUCAACUACUGAUGUCAAGAAAUCGAUCACUAGCAAUGCAACUCUCAGCAGGCUGAAUCAUUCAACGAUGGCGAAGUGCUCAGCAUUAUGGACAGCAUCUGGCAGACCAAAGAGUGCUGAAACGCUAGGCAAAGUAAUCGAGCAGCAACUCAAGACACCCUGCAUUACAAGGUGGAAUUCUCUGCAUGACUCCUUGAGUCAGUUGUCAUUCUUGCGUGACAAGCUCCCUGAUGCCAUGACUGCCCUGCAACUUCCACCAUUCAGGGAAGUCGAACUGGACUACAUUGAGGAAUUUUGCAGAGUGUUACGACCGAUUGCCAUCUCAAUAGAUCGGCUUCAAGGGCAAUCUGCAUGCUAUUAUGGUGAGCUGUUGCCAACACUUUUCACCAUUCAAGCCAAGCUGGAGGAUCUGCAAGCAUCAAACUUGAGGUACUGCUCACACGUUCUUCAAGCAACCAUAGCAGGGUUCAAAAAACGCUUCCACAAUUUUCUGAUGCUGGAGCAUGACGUGAAUGAGGCCAUCCUGGCAACCACAACACACCCAUACUUUAAGAUGAGGUGGUUACCCCAGAGGUUGGCUUCUGAGAAGAGGCGAAUACAGCAACUGAUGCUGCACUCAGCAGACGAACUCGGACUUCUCUCAGAGAGUGACGGGACCACACCGAGCACAGAGGAGAAUGACGAAUUCUUUGUGUUCACUGAUCAAGGAACAGUCAACCAGCUGGAGGCCGAGGCCUUGCCCAGCCACAGCAAGGCGGAACUGGAGACCCUUCAUUUUUUGGAGGAUCCCAGAAAAGACCUGGCUUCACUAAAUGCAUACCCUUUGAUGAAACAGCUUUUUGUGAGAUUUAACACAACCCUACCAUCCUCAGCCCCGGUUGAGCGCCUGUUUUCUUUUGCUGGCUUAGUGAACCGGCCUCACAGAAGGUCAUUAACACCAGAUAUGCUGGAGAAGUUGGUUGUCCUGAAGAACAACUGAUCUGUUUUUCUGUUUAAUAUGGAUAAAAUAAAAUGGAUUUGAAUGUAGCGUUA